GAAGGAGGGAGUGGGCGUUGAUCGGAAUUACUGGGCGUAAAGCGCAUGUAGGUGGCCGAACAAGUCAGGUGUGAAAUCCUCGGGCUUAACCUGGGAAGUGCACUUGAUACUGUCCGGCUAGAGUUUGGCAGAGGAAAGUAGAAUUCCCGGUGUAGCGGUGAAAUGCGUAGAUAUCGGGAGGAAUACCAGUGGCGAAGGCGGCUUUCUGGGCCAAUACUGACGCUGAUGUGCGAAAGCGUGGGGAGCAAACAGG
rnacentral:rRNA from 1 species